GAUGAACGCUGGCGGCGUGCCUAAUACAUGCAAGUCGAGCGAACAGACGAGGAGCUUGCUCCUCUGACGUUAGCGGCGGACGGGUGAGUAACACGUGGAUAACCUACCUAUAAGACUGGGAUAACUUCGGGAAACCGGAGCUAAUACCGGAUAAUAUAUUGAACCGCAUGGUUCAAUAGUGAAAGACGGUUUUGCUGUCACUUAUAGAUGGAUCCGCGCCGCAUUAGCUAGUUGGUAAGGUAACGGCUUACCAAGGCAACGAUGCGUAGCCGACCUGAGAGGGUGGGCGGCCACACAGGAACUGAGACACGGUCCAGACGCCUACGGGAGGCAGCAGUAGGGAAUCUUCCGCAAUGGGCGAAAGCCUGACGGAGCAACGCCGCGUGAGUGAUGAAGGACGUCGGGUCGUAAAACUCUGUUAUAAGGGAAGGACAAAUAUGUAAGUAACGAUUCACAUCUUGACGGUACCUAAUCAGAAAGCCACGGCUAACUACGUG
rnacentral:rRNA from 1 species